rnacentral:lncRNA from 1 species
UGGCCCAUUAACCUUUCCCCUCGUCAAAACCUAAUCCUUCCCCGCAUUAAAAAGAUUAGAAGACCUAAAUAAUGAGAGAUCCCCCCCCCCCGCCCCCCGUUCUCUUAAAAAGGCCAGCGACGGCGCACCCCUCCCUGGGCUCCCUCUUGAUCUCUCUCAAAACCAGACCCCCCAUUUUUGGAAACCGAUUUUCAGCUAAAAAUGGCUGCUUCAAAAACUUCUACUCUCUCUCGCUGAAGAAAAAACGGACUCUCAUCUUCACACAAACGGACCCCCACCCUUGAAAAAACGUAGCAGCUGCUAAGAAAAUGGCAGUACUAGCGAGAGAAGAAGAGAAGCUUUAAGCUCCAGCCGCACCACCCCAUCUCCGCCCCGUACACUUUCACUGAUUAGAAGCAAAAAUUUCGAACAUUAAAAAAACAAAGACUAGAAAAGACAGAGAUCUAACUCGCAAAAAAGCUUCAAACAAGAGGAGUGAAAGGGAUCUGGGUAGCCACUUCAAUUUUUGCUGGUUUUGCACUACUUUUUUUUGAAACUUUUAAGGUUUAAUCGGACUGGAAUCAUCUUAUUUCUGCUGCUGUGUUACUUGAAUUCGUUGCUGAGCUUCAAACCCGCUGAUUCUAGCUUUAUUUGGCUUUCUUCUCUUCUAAAUUUGAACUUUGUGCAACGAGGUAUGUUCUCCACAAAAUUGUUCUUAGAUCUGUUUUGUUAUGGAAUCAUUGUUGUUGUUUAGUUCGUUUGUUGCUCUUAUAUGAAUUUAUUUGUUAGAUUUAAUUUCACACAAUGAGUGGAAUGUUACUAAACGCAAUUUUUCUUCAAAAGCUCUCUGUGUGCUUCAAGGAUUGUUUUCCCAAAUUUGCCCAGUAAUUGGAGAUUGUGCGUGGAUCUAAGUGGUAAUUGAAAAAAGUGCAGAGUUUUAUAUUUGGGUUAUUAAUUCAAGUGAAAGCUGUGUUCUUUAUUUGUUGUGGCUAUUGAUUUCAGUUAAAAUGGAGCAAGGUUUUGGUUCAGACUCUUUUCCACUAGCAGGGUCCAUUGACAAGUCUAAGGUUUUAGACGUUAAGUCUAUGAGAUGUCUUAUGCUUGUUUUUCCAUCUCCAUGUUUGAAUCAGUUAAUUAAGAGAAAAAUAUUCAAGCCUGUUGGAUGUGGUUUCCUACUAUCACUUAAGGUUGAAAUCAGAAUCCAUGUCUAAUUAAUUGGAUCAUGUUAUCAUUUCUGGGCACUUCGACUAUUACGAUUGUAAAUUCUUUAAGAUUCUUGUACCUAUAACUCUAACAACAGAUAGAUUCCAUAAAUUCUGGGCCUUUCAAUAAUCACAAAGUUAGGAAAUAACUUAUAUAAACAUUGUAGCUUGCUUUAGGCGCGAUUAAUAAAUCAUCGUGGCUAUGGGUACGGUUUUCGUGGCAUGGUCACGAUACAUAAUCCCCAAUUCGAGUGUGCUAGAUAUGUUGUAAAUCGCGGGUGCAUUUCAUGUAGCGUGGUCUGCAAUGUGUUCCAAAAUGACAAGUGUACGACAAUCGUGACUUGUUUUAGAAAUAACUCCAUAAAUAAAUACAAGCGGUUAUAAAAGUUAAAAAUGCACAAUAGGUUUAAAACAUGUAAUAAAUCAGAUAAUUAGGCCAAUUAUUAAUAGUUGAACGACCUUGCUAAAACCAUGAAACUCGAGAAGGUCUCACACCUUUUUCCGGGUUAACAGAAUUCCUUACCCGGUCUUCUGUGUUCGCAAACCAAAAAUAGAGUCAAUUUUCCUCUGGGAUUUAAAAUAAAUCAGUGACUUGAAACAUCAUAAAUUAUUCCAAGUAGCGACUCUGAAAUAAAUAAAAUAAUCCCAUUUCGAUUAAUGUCACUUAAAUUGGAAAAACUCUAAAAAAAAAAUACCCCUUUUGGAAAAAAAGGAGGUGUGACAUAAACUUCAAACAAAUGAAUACACAGAGAGAUUUCAAUGCUAUUUAGUUGUGUGAAAAAGGCUGGGUUUUGUUCUACCCUUCCUGAUUUCAUUUGAUGCCUUUACUGAAUGCAAACUUUUACUCAAUGUAAGUUUCUGCUUUACUCCAUCACUAUGUUAGUUCUACUUAGCGGCAAGAACAUGCAAGGUGAAUGAUGUUACAUAUUUGAUGCUGCAUGUGACAUGUCUGUUUGCCAUUGAGUCAUGUUUAUUCUUAUCAGCAUAACGAACAUCAAUAUGAUCGUCUACAACAAUUUCUGUAUAUUAAAGGCCAAUCAUUUAAUACCAUUUUUUUACAAAAUUUCAAAAGGGGAAUGAAAAUGAAACUACCCACAUGGAGUAAAAUUUCACAAAUGGUCAGAUAACUUAUGAUUUUUUAUUCACCAAAAUCAUAUAACUUUAUUUUCUCGCACAAUCAUAAAAUUCACUAACUCACACAAAAACCGUAGUGACCGGAAAAUACAUUUUUCGGUAGUAUUUUCUUACACCAUAUUUNNNNNNNNNNNNNNNNNNNNNNNNNNNNNNNNNNNNNNNNNNNNNNNNNNNNNNNNNNNNNNNNNNNNNNNNNNNNNNNNNNNNNNNNNNNNNNNNNNNNNNNNNNNNNNNNNNNNNNNNNNNNNNNNNNNNNNNNNNNNNNNNNNNNNNNNNNNNNNNNNNNNNNNNNNNNNNNNNNNNNNNAAAGUGAAUAUUUUUCACAUAAAAAAUUAACUUAGUUUGGUAUGCACGAGACUCUGACAAAAAAAAUAUGUAUAACUAGAGAGCACUUGAAAUAAAAUGCUAUCGAUUAGAACGAAAAUCUUGAAAAAAUAAAAUUAAAAAUAGAAUUAUACUAUUUUGAAUGGUCCACUUUUAGUAUUAUUCUAAUUUAUGUAUAUGGGUAUUAGGUAGGGUCGGGUUGUAUCAUUCCUAUUUUAAUUGAAUUAUUAUUUAAUAGAUAAAAAGUAAAAAAACAAAAAUCGUGAAAUAAGAAAAUACUACUGAAUAGUUGUAUUUUUUGGUCACUAUUUUUUAUGUGAGUCAGUAAAAGUUUUAUGAUUAUUGUGUGAAGAAAUAAAGUUAUAUAAAUUUAGUGAAAAAAAAUUAUAGUUACAUGACAAUUUGUAAAAUUUAAUGAUAUAAGUUCCUCAAUAGAAAUUGAUUGAUUUAAAAUUGAAUUGAAUUUUAAUUGUAAUUAUGAAUUAAUAUUAUUACAAGUGCAUUCAAUUAUGUGAAAUGGUUCCAACUAACAAUGAACAUGUGUUCUUAGAGAAAUCAUUACUAAUUCUUGAGAAUUGGGAUAGAAACUUUUCUUUACAUGUGAAAAUUUGCUUAAAAUUGUAUUAGCCUUCCUUUGUAUUUAUCGAAUUUUUAGAUUAUAGUACUGUAGUAGAUGAUAAAAAAAAAGUAGGAAAAAACUAUUACAUUAUUUUACAAGAUUGCUAACAGUAUUAACAAAUAAAUACAUUUCGCAAAUAAAGAGGAUACUUCUGAUCUUAACCGAAGAUCGUAAUUAAUUUUGGUUCUAUGAUCUUUAUUUUCUAUCUCCGAAUCAAGCCGGAUUAACUCAAAACCGGAGCAACCAUUCAAAUAUAUGUAGCCGAUGAUAGUUUUUAUGCUAAAGAUAGUGGGGCACCCGUAUUUUUAAAUUUUUGGCUCCCUAACUAUUCAUAAAUCAUACCUCUAAUUGUUGAACGAUGAUUUCUUCAUUUAAACAACUUCUAUUCUUAACAAAAUAAUAUUUAUCUUAGUAUCAUUUUUAAUUCAUUAAAUUACAGAGUAAAGAUAUUCUAUGAAAGUAGUGUCUUUGUAAAUGUGUGUGUAGCAUUCCAGUGGUUUAACUUGACGAUGAAAUGAAAUAGUGAGUUAGGUUUGAUCUAUAAUUUUUAAAACGUCACUUGAAAUAAUCAAAGUGUUACGGUGUUUAAUUUCAAAUUUUUAAAACGUCUCUUGAAAUAAUCAAAGUGUUACGGUGUUUAAUUUUAAAUUAAAAGGCAAUAUCAGACUUAAUAUUUAAUAUAAUUUGAAGAAUUUGAAAUAUUAAAUUUGUAUUUCUUCAACUCUCACAUGUUCUGAGUGAACAUGUGAUUAUUUUGUGUUAUUUUGUCGAUGUGUUGAUCGUAAGCAAUGAUAUAAUGACAUGACAAAAACAAAGAGGUUUCUACCUUGCACCUUUGAAGGAAAGGAUCUUGGAAAAUUGAUAUCUACCAUAUUAGUAUUAAGAUUAAGAGAAAUAUUAGAGUUAUAUGUAUUGAGUCAAUUUUAUUACAUUGAGAAAGUGCUAAAUAAAUUUAGUCACUUAAACAUGAAAGAGUUCAUUAUUCCAUUUAAUCAAAUUUUCGAGUUAACUAAGAAUGAUGAAAGAAUUAUAGCGUAGUCAAAUUGUACAUGCUCUUUUGGAAAAUAAUUGGACGAGUUCUUUGUUUUUCUAAGAAACCUAAAGAUUUGAGUUUUCAAUACUCAAAAGUUUCUACAUAACUCGGUAUACAUGUGCCGAGAGACUAAUAUAUAUAUAGUAUACGUAUGUUGCACGUGUUCCUCGCGUCAAGUAAAUAAUAUAUGUGCAAGAACAAUAUUUUUAAUUACAGAUGCUUCAUCACGAUUUUGUAUUUUUUUUCUUAUCAAUUUAAUAUUGAUAUAUUUGUGAUUUUCAUAUAUACUAACCUUGUAUUAUAUUUUCAAUUAAUGUAAUUUCAAAGGAGAAAUGUUUAGAAAAAAAAUGGAGAAUUACAGUUUUUGAAUAAGAUAAAUGAAUUUGGUCAUCUAAAAAAUUUAGGAUUAUUCUCACCAAUUCAAUCCUAUUUUAUUCCCUUCUUUUGAUUCUUCUGCUUAUUCUCAUCUCAAAAGAAUUUAUACAACCAAAAUUGGCAUGAGAACAAUAUAAGAAAAUAUCAAAUAUAUGAAUAAAGUUACAUAUGAACAUACAAAAUACUAAGCAACAUGGAGUUUAUAUCAAUAAUUAACGCGUGGAUCAUAAAUUAAUAGGAUUAUAUCCAAUAAAAAAUUUAUAAUAACUUUAAAAUUGUCACGAUCCGGAUUUCCCACCAUCAAGAUUGUGAUGGCGCCUAACUCUUAGAAUGCUAGGCAAGCCAACAGAUACAGUUCUAGCACAUUAAUUAUUAACCAAAACAGUAUUAACAUUAAUUUAAACUAAACAUAUAUGAAGUGCGGAAAUUUUAUAACAAUUUGAAACACUAAUACAUAACUACUCAAAAGAUCUGGUAUCACAAUCCACAAACUUCUAAGAAUUUUCUACAAACACUGGUUUAAAAGAAAUACAUUUGUUCUAGAAAUGAAAAGAGACAGAAAAUCUAAGAUAGAGGGAAGGGGACACCAGAGUCUGCGAACACCGACAGAUCUAUCUUGGGUCUUCUGUGGACUGAAGGCAGCAACCCAAACUCUGAUUAGUGUGGUCCAGUACCGGAAUCUGCACAGAAAGUGCAGAGUUCUGUAUCAGUGCAACCGACCCCAUGUAUUGGUAAGUGCCGAGCCUAAACUCGGCGAAGUAGUGACGAGGUUAGGACACGACAAAAAAUAUAAACAUGUGCAGUUAAAUCAUAUACGAGAAAAUAACAAUAACGAAAAUUUAACAAAUAAAGACGGAAGGGGGAAAAACAUGUUGGGGGACUAUGAAUAUUCUGAAAAUAGUACAGUACAGAAACACAAUGAAUAUAUCAUACUUGGAACCAACGAAAGUAAUAACACAACAAUCACGUGCACGGCCUCACCCUUCGUGCUCGCCAUAAGAAACAACAGAAAUGGCACGGUAUCACCCUUCGUGCAUUAUCUCUCUCAUAAUCAUGGCACGACAUCACCCUUCGUGCAUUAACACUCAUAGAAUAUGGCACGACAUCACCCUUCGUGCUUUAUCACUCACUCACAAAACAUUGCACGACAUCACCCUUUUUGCUUUACACUCUUCCUCACCCAAACGGCAGAAACAAUAUCAAUCCAACAAGGGAAUUAUCAAUAAACAACCCCGUUUCAACAUUUAUCUUCACAAUAUGAUUCUCAACUUGAGUCAAUACUCAACAAAUAUCCAAUACCAGAAAAACAUAAUAAGACUUGUUUAACAUGAUGAAUAACCAUUUUAAGCAUGAACAGUACGUAUAAAGAAAUACAAUAGUCACAAGUAUAAGGUUCACUCGUAUGCUAUGAUCCGACGCUAACGUAUAGAUACUCGUCGUCUCACCUAUACGUCGUAUUCAACAACUAAACAAGUAGCAAAUAAGGCAAUAACACCUAAUCCCUCUAGCUAAGGUUAACCACAACACUUACCUCGAUUCCACAGCCAAAAUCAAGCCUCAAUUACCGCUUUACCUCUCUAUUCCACCUCCAAUCCACUCGUAUUUAGUCAUAAUUAACUUAUAAUAUCAAGUAUCACUAAAGAAAUCAAUUCUAAUGCAAAAUUACAAGUUUUUCAAUAUUUUCCCCAAAAGGUCAAAAACCGACCCCGGGCCCGUUUGGUCAAAACUCGAAGUUUGGACCAAAACCCGAUUACCCAUUCACCCCUGCGCCCGGAUAUACAAUUGGUUUUGGAAUCCGACCUCAAUUUGAGGUCUAAAUCCCCAAAUUUCGAAUUUUCUAAAUUCUACCCAAAAACACCAAAUUCCACCUUGAAAAAUCCUAGAUUUUAUGAUGAAAUCUUGUAAAAAGAUGAAAUCGAUUGAAAGAAAUAUGUUAGGAUUCAUUUACCUAUGAUUUGGGGAAGAAAUGGUCUUUGGAAAAUCGCCUCUUGAAGUUUAGGGUUUGAAAAUUUGAGAAAUGAAUCAAAAAUCCCAUCCAAAACUCGUUUUGAACAGUUGCAGGUAUCGCAUUUGCGAUCACAGGUUCGCAAAUGCGAACUCGCAAAUGCGGACAUUACUUCGCAAUUGCGAAGGUUGGCCUGGCCUGCUAACAUCGCAAAUGCGAACAAAUGUUCGCAAACGCAGCCCAUGUUCCAAUCGCAAUUGCGACGAUGAGCUUCGCAAAUGCGAAGGUUCCCUCCCAGCCUACUAAUCACAAAUGCGAAGCUUUUUCACAACUACGAUGCUCGCAUUUGUGAGCCAGAAUGCAGACCUGCAACAUACCAGAAAUUUUCUUAAGUUUCAAAACACUCCGUAGCCUAUCCAAAACUCACCUGAGCCCUCGGGGCUCCAAACCAACCAUGCACACAAGUCUUAAAACAUCAUACGGACUUGGCAUGUGAUCAAAUCGCUAAAAUAACACCUAGAACUAUGAAUUCAAUACCAAAACACAUGGAAUUUUCAAGAUAGUUUCGAACUUCCUAUUUUCUCAACCAAAGGUCCGAAUCACGUCAAAUCACUUUUGUUUUUCACUAAAUUUUACAGAUAAGGUUUAAAUAUUAUAACGGACCUGUACCGGGCUCCGGAACCAGAAUACGGGCUCGGUACCAACAAGAUCAAAUCAUUUAAAUUAUUACAUUUUCAGUCUUAUCAAUUUUCUUCAAAAAUUUAUUUCUGAAGCUAGUGACCUCGAAAUUUGAUUCCGAGUAUAUGCCCAGGUUCCAUAUUUUACUACGGACUCUCCGAGACUGUCAAAACACGGGUCUGGGUUCGUUUACCCAAAAUGUUGACCGAAGUCAACUAAAAUCAUCUUUUUAAGCCAAAAUCAUCUUUUCUUAAGUUUUUCACAUAAGGGCUUUUCGUAUACGCACCCGGACUGCGUACGCAAAUUGAAGAGAAAAAAACAAGGUUUUCAAGGCCUCAGAGCAUAGGAUCGAAUUCUAAAACUAUAACGAUCCAACUGGUCAUUUUGAGCAAUUGCAUCCGGUUCGGCAGUUUGAGGUCACGAGCAGCUUCAUAUUAUGUGUAUCGACUUGCGUGCGUAGUCCGGGCGUAAAUCUAGAAAGCUUUUAUGUGAAAAUAUGAAAAAUAUAGUAAUUUCUAGAGUUAAAAUUUGGUUUUUAGUUGACUUUGGUCAACAUUUUUGGUAAACGGACUCGGAUCUGUGUCCCAAUGAUUCCGGGAGGUCCGCGGUAAAAUAUGAGACUUGGGUCUAUGCCCGGAAUUGAAUUCAGAGGUCCCUAGCCUUAGAAAAUAAUUUUUGAAGAAAAUUGUUGUGCUGGUUUUUAAAGGAAAUAAAGAAAUGAAUUAAUGUUUGAACUCGUUGGUAUCGACCCGUAUUUUGGUUGCGGAGACCGGUACAAGUUUUUUAUAAUAUUUAAGUCCUAUCUGUAAAAUUUGGUGAGAACCGGAAUUGAUUUGACGUGAUUUGGACGCCCGAUUGAAAAAAUAGAAAAAUUUGAGUGUCCUUGAGAAAAUCAUGAGUUUUGAGGUUAAAUUCAUACUUUUUGAUGUUAUUUUGAUGAUUUGAUCGCACUAGCAAAUCUGUAUGAUGUUUUUAGACUUGCAUGCAUGUUUGGUUUGGAGCAUCGAGGGUUUGGGUGAGUUUUGGAUAGGUUUAGGCUAUGUUGCGCUUGUUUUUGGAUGAUUCAUCGUCGUUUGUUCAAGCAAAAAUAAUACCACAUUGAGCAAAUGAGAUCCAAAUUCAGUUUUGUUUGAACCAUUAGGUCGGUAUCGAAAUUACGGAGCCAUAGGAAAAAGAAUCAUCGAAUUUAGACAUCGUUUGAGGAAGUUAUGCUCAUUUUCGUGUCGGAAAAAAUUCCUGGUUUCUGUUGUGUUCGCAAAUGCGAACUUUUUCAUCGCAUUUGCGAUGCCCAGUUCGCAAAUGCGAACUUUUUGUCACAAAUGCGACUUCUGCUAGCCCUGCUUUGUUCACAAUUUGCGAGGGUGCGUAAUUGCGAACCCUGGGUCGCAAAUGCGACAUGUGAGGCCUGUUAAGUGAGGUUUUUGACGAGAUUUUCACCCAUUUUUUAAUUUUCUCAAACCCUAAACCUCCAUGGGCGAUUUUCCAAAGACCCAAACAUCUCCAAAUCAUUGGGUAAGUGUCUCUAAUCAAUUUCCAACUAUAUUUUGUGAUUAUAUCUUAGAUUUAAUGUCAUGACCCAAAAUCCACUAAGGGUCGUGAUGGCGCCGGACACUACUGUCAGGCAAGCCAACCACCAUUUACUAGCAUUUUCUCAUUUUUUUAAUUAUUUUGAAAUCAUUUUCCUUGAGCAAAUAAAUAAUAAAUAAUAAACUCCGCUGGAUAAAUGAGGAUGUCUUUACAAAUUUAACCACUGAAAAAUUUCGUGAUCAUCCCAGAACCCGGUGUCACAAGUGCAUGAGCAUUUACUAGGGAAUGAAAUAAAAUACAGUAACUGUCCGGAAUACAAGUGGACAGAAAUGAAGAUACAGUACAAUUCUUUGAAGGAGACUCUGUUGGCUGCGGAUCGUCUCGAUAAUUGCAGCUUACCUAAGUCUCCAUAUCAACCAUGCCGCUAUGNNNNNNNNNNNNNNNNNNNNNNNNNAUCUUGAAGAAGUAGAGACGAGAGGUCGAUUUCGACACUUACUAGUGGUCCAAUGAUAAUAUAGUAAAUAUGUGAGGAGAUCAGGGAAUUUCAUUAAACAACAAUUCUAAUUCAUAAAUCCAGAUAGCAGGUAAAUAACUUCCCAAAUACUAAUGGAUUUCCAAAGAUUUACUUUUCAUUAUCUUUAUCAAUUUAUCUCCGGUCAGGAAAGACAAAUGUCAACAUUUAUAAAUCUCAAGCAACAAUACAAACAUGCGCAUAUCAUGCCGAGGUCGUACGGCCCGAUUCAACAUAAAUGUAAAAUGUGCACUGCCGAGGGUCAAACGGUGCGAACCAUAGAUGCAUCUAUUACCCCGCUCGCGAAUCAUCCAUGCGACGCGGUCAACACAAAAUUAACAAACACCCUGCUCGCGAACCAUACAUGCGACGCAGGUACACAUAGAGAUACAUGCUCAAACAGCAAAUUAAGAAUUUAUCGGGGAACGUUUAUCCAAAUAAAAUCCAAUUCUCUUUUAGCGAUUUAAGAAGAGAAGUUUAAUCCUUUUAGAAAUUCAUUUACCAAUUCGAUAAGAUUUAAGCAAUUCAACUGCCAACAAGAUUACAGAUAUUCCAAGUAUAGCAUGCUUUUGGGUCCUAGACUACCCAGACAAUAGCAUAAUAGUAGCUAUGCACGGACUCUCGUCACCUCGUGCGUAGGUAGCCCCCACAAAUAGGAGCACAUAAUUGAUUAACUCACCUACGGGGACAAUUCCCUCUUACAAGGUUAGAAAGGAGACUCACCUCGCUCCGAAGAUCCAUAACGGGCAUUCCACGCUCUUCCGAAGACUCGAAUCGAUGCAUAUUGCUCCAAAACUAGGCAAUAAUUAUGCAAAUCCAUUAAUAUAUAUUCAAUUACUCAUUACAAUCUAAUUUAUAAUAAUUUCUAGCUCCGAUAUUGCCCUCGGGCCCACGUGCCCGGAUUCCGAAAUUUCUCGAAGAUAAAGUUUACCCAUAACCUCACGAACUCAAAUAUAUAGUUUACUCUCAAUUUCAUACUCAAAAUCGUGGUCAAAUUUCAAGAAUAUCGAUUUUCUAGGUUUUCCCCCAAACCCCAAGUUUCUACAAAUUUCAUGCUCAAAUCCGUACAUAAUCAAUGUAUUUAACUCAAGAUAGGUGGGGAUAGCUUACCUUAUCGUUGAUGAUGAAAACCCCCCCUUGAAACCCUCCAAGAAUCGCCCAAGCCAAGAGAAAAAUGAGAGAAAAUGGCCAAAUCCCGAUUUUUAAAACACUUACUGCCUCCAGUCCUUUCGCACCUGCGGUUACUUGGCCGCUUCUGCGGUUCAGCAGGUGCGGUUACAAUACCGCUUCUGCAGUCCUCCUCCUACUUCCCCAGCCUGCUUCUGCGCCGCACCGACCGCAUUUGCGAUCACACAUGUGCGGGAUUUCCUUCGCACCUGCAGCCUCUGAGCCCUUCGCUUCUAACCGCUUCUGCGGCACGAUGACUGCUCCUGCGGCUACGCACCUGUAGCCCUAGCCUCGCAGGUGCGGUUACACUAGCAACUUGAGCCUUCUCCAAAAUUCUAUUUUCGAUCCGUUAAUCACCCGGAAUCCACCCGAGGCCCUCGGGACCCCAACCAAUCAUACCAACCAGUCCCAAAACACAUUACGGACUUGCUCGAGGCCUCAAAUUAUAUCAAACAAUGCUAAAAUCACGAAUCGACCCCCAAUCCAAGCUUUAUGAACUUUAGAACUUCAAACUUCUACUUUCGAUGUUUAAAUCUAGAAAAUCACGUUCGAUUGACCUCAAAUUUUGCACACAAGUCAUAUUCGACAUUACAGACCUACUCCAACUCUCUGAAUCGAAUUCCGACCAAUAUCAAAAAGUCCACUUCCGGUCAAACAUCUCAAAAACCUUCAAAUUUCUAUCUUUAGCCAAAUGACUCCAAAAUGACCUAUGGACCUCCAAAUUCACUUCCGAUCGCGCUCCCAACUCCAGAAUCACCAUACGGAGCUACUCCCAGACUCGGAAUCCCAAACGGACAUCGAUAACACUGAAAUGCACUUCAACCCAAACUUAUGAAAUUUCUUCCAGAAUGCUAACUUCCACAAUAGGCGCCAAAACGUUUCUAGGUCUUCCGAAACCCGAUUCGGACAUACGCCCAAGUCCGAAAUCAUCAUACGAACCUGCUGGAACCUUCGAAUCCUGAUUUCGAGGUCGUUUACUCAAAAAUCCAAUCUUAGCUAACUCUUUCAACUUAAAGCUUCCGAAAUGAGAAUUCUCUUUCCAAAUCAACUCCGAACUUUCCGGAAUUCAAUUCCGACCAUGCGCACAAGUCAUAAUACCUGAAGUGAAGCUGCUCAUGGCCUCAAACUGCUGAACGACGCGCUAGAGCUCAAAACGACCGGUCGGGUCGUUACAUUUAACAUCAAAUUCAUGCGAAUCUAAAGGAAAAUUUGGGGAAAAUUGUGAAAUCUUUCAAAAAUGUAAAAUGAUGAUUUAAAUGACCAAAUGGUAUCGGAAUUAGAUAAAUUUUGUAUGGGUGAACUCGUAAUGGAAUGUUUGUUCGAUUUUUGUAAAUUUUUCAGGUUCCGAGGUGCAGGCCCGAGGAGUUGCCUUUUGUUGAAUUUUUGCAAAUUGUACAAGAAUCAUAGUUUUGUUAAUUGAAAUUGUUUUCUCUUGCAUUGUUUGAUGUAUUCAAGUUAUUUUUGGCUAGAUUGAGCCGAGCGUUGAUGAAUUAGUAAAGGAAAAGCUAAAUUGAGUAUUGAAUUGGCCGGAUUGAGGUAAGUAUCUUGCCUAACCUUGUGGGAGGGGGAGGGACUUCCCCUUAAGAUUUGAGUCUUCUAUUCUAAUUGUAGUUCAUGCACGCGAGGUGACGAGUGUGUGCUCGGAUUUAUUUAUGGAAACUUUGCCUCUAGGGUUCUUAGGUCCUUAUGUCCAUUAUGUGGAAAGUAUCCUGUUAUGAUUUGGUUUAAUAACUGCUUGAAUUGCCUCUAUAUGCUUCAUAUGAUGUUGUUAACUUUACUCUAAUUCCUACGUGUUACAGUGACCCUUAAUUGCCUUAAUUGAAGUGAUUGCCUCCCUUAUUGUUUUGGAUACUUCUUGAUUGUGAGUUCUUCUAUGACUUCGUGCAAAUAUGUUACAUGUCCAAUUGUUGUGGUUAUCAGUGUAGUAUCACGUGCUUAUUAUGUCUUGUUGUUUUGUUGAGGUUAUCGUGCUUCUUGGUUUUUUUUCCAUAACCCUUAUGAUGUACUUGUUGAUUCCCUUGCCGGGAAGUUAUUGUUUAUGAUAUUGUCUCCCUUGCCGGGAUAUUAUUGUUAUACUCUUGUUUCAUUGCCGAGAUUCUUUUAUGCUUGAUGUUGAAUUGUAUUUAGGGAUAAGGUUGCACGCCGCAACGAUAUUAUAUGAAAUGGUAUCAGGUUGCACGCCGCAACAGUAUUAUGUGAAAUGGGAUCGGGUUGCACGUCGCAAUGAUAUUAUGUAAAAUGGGAUUGGGUUGCAUACCGCAACGGUAUUAUAUGAAAUUGGAUUGGGUUGCACGCCGCAAUAGUGUUAUGUGAAAUGGGAUCGGGUUGCACGCUGCAACGGUAUUAUGUAAAAUGGGAUCGCGUGGCACGCCGCAACGGUAUUAUGUGAAAUGGAAUCGGGUUGCACGCCACAACAGUGUUAUAUGAUUUGGGAUCGGGUUGCACGCCACAACAAGAAAGAAUAAAAGUGAAUAUUGAUUCUUAUGGUGAGAACGAGAGUAAAAGCACGAAGGGUGAUGUUGUGCACUUUCUGUUGCUGUGUUUAUUUGUUGUUAUCAAUUCAAGUGCUUUAACUAUUUAAAUCCCUUUGUUGCUGUGAUCCUUUAUGUUGGAACCUACAGUGUUUUCAAUACCUCGCCGUAUUUAUAUAUAUACAUUCCAAUACUUGAAACUUCAAUAAUUAUUACAUCUUUAAUUCAAUUGGUUUCUCAAUUAUAUCCCCUUAAACUGCCUGAUGUUGUAUUUUACUUAAAAAAAGAAUUUCUACUAAGCUUUAAGUUAUUAGCUCUCAUGUUAAAGGUAAUAAUCCACUCGAUGUUGUAUUUUAAUUGAAAAGGGUACCUUCUUUACUCAAAUGAUUUCAAAAGAAACAGCUUCAUCUUUUCUUGCUGGCUUUCCUAAUUAGUUUAGAAAUUGUAAUUUACUUAUAUUAGGUAAAUGAGUUUCUUGAACAUCUUGAGUGCAUUUGUACGAACAUUAUGUAUUGUAUAGCAUUUGGAUUUUGUUGUUAAAAGUGAGAUGGAAAUUAUGGGGGCACAAGAUGCCAUGUGUGCUGAAGGUUCAGAAGUUGGAAUUAUGAUAUGAGAAACUGAGGAUUGAGAUGGUCGGGAUUGUGUUUUAGACAUGAUGUGAUCGAUUGAGUUGGUAUUGCCUUCUUUAUUUGAAUACAGUCUUAAUUGUCUCUGUUCCUGUUAUGUCAGUGUUGAUUUACUUGGUUAUCUCACUUACUUGGUUAUCUGAUUUACCUGGUUAUCUGAUUUACUUUGUUAUCGUUCGCAACUACCCAUGUUCUCCCUUUAUUGUUCCUACUGUUUGUAUUUUGAUUUCUCUCCGUUGUUGAUAUUAUCUCGUUAUCUUUAUCUCGAUAUUUCACUAUCAUAUCUUGUUUAUUUCAUUUCACCAGUAGGUGUCUUGACUAUUUCUCGUCACUACCCCACCGAGGUUAGUCUUGAUACUUACUGGGCACCACCGUGGUGUGCUCAUACUACACUUCUGUACAUUUUUGUGUACAGAUCCAGGUAUUGAUCGAUAGUAGCUGUGCGGAUGGUCGCGGUGGAGACUCACGGCAACCUGUUGCUGCGUUUACAGGCUUCGGAGUCACCUUCGUUUGUAUUUACGCUCCAUUGAUUCCUUCUCGUUCUGGAAUAGUGUUGUAUUUAUUUUAUAUAACUACUCUUAGAAAGACUUAUGACUUGUACCACCGGUUUUGGGGAAUUGUGAUUUAUUGAAAGUUAUUUAAUUUGAAGUCAGUAAAUGCUAAUUUUAUUUCAGUAAAUGCUAGGCUUACCUAAUUUAGAGACUUUUGUGCCA